rnacentral:rRNA from 2 species
GGACUACUGGGGUAUCUAAUCCUGUUUGAUCCCCACGCUAUCGCGCCUGAGCGUCAGAAACGGGCCAGUGAGCCGCCUUCGCCACCGGUGUUCUUCCCAAUAUCUACGAAUUUCACCUCUACACUGGGAAUUCCACUCACCUCUCCCGUACUCAAGCCAAACAGUUUCAAAGGCAAUUCCGAGGUUGAGCCUCGGGCUUUCACCCCUGACUUGAAUGGCCGCCUGCGCGCGCUUUACGCCCAGUAAUUCCGAACAACGCUAGCCCCCUUCGUAUUACCGCGGCUGCUGGCAC